rnacentral:rRNA from 1 species
AUUGAACGCUGGCGGCAUGCUUUACACAUGCAAGUCGAACGGCAGCGCGGGCUUCGGCCUGGCGGCGAGUGGCGAACGGGUGAGUAAUACAUCGGAACGUGCCCAGUAGUGGGGGAUAGCUCGGCGAAAGCCGGAUUAAUACCGCAUACGACCUGAGGGUGAAAGCGGGGGAUCUUCGGACCUCGCGCUAUUGGAGCGCCGAUGGCAGAUUAGCUAGUUGGUGGGGUAAAGGCCUACCAAGGCGACGAUCUGUAGCUGGUCUGAGAGGACGACCAGCCACACUGGGACUGAGACACGGCCCAGACUCCUACGGGAGGCAGCAGUGGGGAAUUUUGGACAAUGGGCGAAAGCCUGAUCCAGCAAUGCCGCGUGUGUGAUGAAGGCCUUCGGGUUGUAAAGCACUUUUGGCGGGAACGAAAAGGACUGUGCCAAUACCACGGUUCGAUGACGGUACCCGCAGAAUAAGCACCGGCUAACUACGUG